UGUCUGUUCUAAGCAGCAUGUUUGAUUCUGGAGGAAGAACCUUGACCAUCUGUAGCAUUCUGUUUGAUGCUCGGUGCUUCAAGUCCUGCAGCCUGCAUGGCAGAUCAAAACAGUGGACCACACAAGACUCACAAGUCUGGUAUGCAUGCGAUCUCUCCCUCUCAGAGUGCUGGAGAGAACAGUAACCACUGUGCUGACUCCACACAUCAAACCAACAGCACAAGACAAGAAUACGGAUGGUACAGAGAGGACAGACAGUCAGACAGAUAAAGCAGAACUCCUCCUCACAGCAUAAAGCUGUUACAGACUGUAUUGGAGUGUGCAUUCACCAAUAGCCCCACUUAUGAUCUGAAGCUAUGAAAAGCUCUACAGCGAGG